AAGAAAUUUUAGACGGGUAUACUGUUGAUAGAUACACUAAUAUCAUACAAUCUUUUUUACUAAUAGUUUUGUCCAUAUAUCACCUUCACAGAUGAUGAUUUUAAUCAUUUCCUUGACGACAUAAGUAAG